UGCCUUUGAUACUACCAGUCUUGAGUACGGGAGAGGAAAGUGGAAUUCCCAGUGUAGCGGUGAAAUGCGUAGAUAUUGGGAGGAACACCAGUGGCGAAGGCGACUUUCUGCCCCGUUACUGACGCUGAGACUCGAAAGCUAGGGUAGCGAACGGGAUUAGAUACCCCGGUAGUCCUAGCCGUAAACGAUGGACACUAGGUGCAGGAGGUAUUGACCCUUUCUGUGCCAAAGCUAACGCAUUAAGUGUCCCGCCUGGGGAUUACGGUCGCAAGGCUGAAACUCAAAGGAAUUGACGGGGGCCCGCACAAGCGGUGGAGCAUGUGGUUUAAUUCGACGCAACGCGAAGAACCUUACCUGGGCUUGAAGUGCAGUGGAUCGACUUGUGAAAGCUUGUCUUCCCUUCGGGGCUGCUGUAGAGGUGCUGCAUGGCUGUCGUCAGCUCGUGUCGUGAGGUGUCGGGUUAAGUCCCAUAACGAGCGCAACCCCUAUCCUUAGUUGCCAGCACAUAAUGGUGGGGACUCUAAGGAAACUGCCCGCGCAAGCGGUGAGGAAGGCGGGGAUGACGUCAAGUCAGCACGGCCCUUAUGUCCAGGGCUACACACGUGUUACAAUGGCCGGUACAGAGGGCAGCUACUCCGCGAGGAGAUGCAAAUCUCAAAAACCGGUCUCAGUUCGGAUCGAUGUCUGAAACUCGACUUCGUGAAGGCGGAAUCGCUAGUAAUCGCGCAUCAGCCAUGGCGCGGUGAAUACGUUCCCGGGCCU
rnacentral:rRNA from 1 species